UGACGAAUCUAACAGAGGGUACUGGGACCUCGUGUGGAACCCAUCAGCCUCUGCAACUGGAUCGUUUGAUGUGAUAAAGGCUACAGAUUUUGAGGUUAUAGUGGAAAAUGAAGA